CAUGACGAAUAGAGCUUACGCUAAAAACAAUGGAGAUGGACUUCUCUGUAGUAUUCUGUGCCUGGGUGCCAGAGGUUCUUCCACGCUCGUAGGGGGGAUAAUGAAGGAUACACGAGGAUUCAAGCUGGACCUCUGGCACCCAGGGUAGGCAAACUUCAAAGCUACAAAGGCAAACAGACUACAAGCACAAUUAGCCAUUCCGAAGUUGAUGAGAGGACUGCGGACGAGUGUUAAAAAGUGCCCAAAUUAAGAAAUAAACCAAAUCACCAAUCUCGUUCCCCGAGCCUGUGAUCCUCGGGAAGGAACGCGAGGCUCUGGGAUAAUCCGUUGCCGAAAGCCAGGAAUCCUGGCUAAGAUUGAACUAUAAUUGAACUACGCAUUCCAUUUCAACGGCCAAUCAGAUUCCUCCCUGAAACGGAUUAUCCCAGAGCCUCGCGUUCCUUCCCGAGGAUCGCAGGCUCGGGGAACGAGAUUGCCAAAUCACUAAAAAGACCAGCUCAAAAUUAGUAAGUAUACAAAGUUUGAAGAAGUUUACAUGAAUACCCUUCGAAUAACAAGCUUUCGAAAAUCGCGAUAUUUACUAUGAAAUGUACUGUAAUUUUUGUUUUGGGGACGCGCGUCCCAAAAACAGUCUUUUAAUCACUAAUUUCACAAUUAUCGAAAGCUUAUUAUUCGAAAUAUAUUCAUGUAAACGUCUUCAAACUUUGUAUACUUACUACUUACUAAUUGUGAGGUGGUCUUUUUAGUGAUUUGGUUCAUUUCUUAAUUUGGGCACUUUUUAACACUCGUCCCCAGUCCACUCAUCAACUUCUAAUUUCUAAUUACAUUCUCGUACCCAGAGCCCUUCUUACGCGCGGUGCGACGAGGGGCUCUGGCCAAAUCCAUAUUCCGAACUGGCAUCUGAUUGGCUAGUUCUAACAGCGGAUACUCUGGGUACGAGAAUGGGCCAGUGGAAUGGGCUAAUUACAACUUCUUAGCAAUCUUCUUAGCUGGUUCUUACCUCCUGUCAAAAGCAAUCGUUCCUGGUUUAAAGUUUUAAAUAUUUUAUUGUAUAACAUGAAAUCAGUUUUGAUAAAAUAAAUGCAUGAUGUGUAUGAAGACAUAAUUCAUGCUAGCAAGAUUACAGUAUUUUGUUUUCUUCCCAGUAGCUGCGCAUGCUUACUAAUUCAGCUAGAUUCUUAGUUCAGUAAAGCCCUGGGCAAACUAGGGAACAUUGUUGCGGAAACAUUGUUUCCUUCCAAUGUUUUGCCGUGUUUCCCAGAGUGGGCAAACACUAGGAAACAUUAGUGAGAAACAUAGGGAAACAUCAAAUGUUUCUGAAUUUGCUAGGAAACAUUUUUGCUUCUCGGGAAGCAAAUUUUGUUUCCGCAACAAUGUUUCCACGGGUGGGCAAACAGAGAAACAUUUGAGGAAACAUCACAAAUGUUUCCACAACAAUGUUUCCUAGUUUGCCCAUGGCUUAAGGUUUUUUAAGAAGCAGAUUAAUUUGUCGACCUGAAGUGGUUCUUGUAUUUCGGGUGCUUUAAUUAAUUGCCAAAAUUUUAGGCUGGUGGUUCUUAAUUCAUUGGUUCUUUCAUGCGGGACUUUACUGUAACAAUAUAUAGCUCUGACAAAAAUAUGGAAUCGAAAUAAAUUAUAUUACAGGAGAUAUUCAGUUGUUUUAAUCACAAAAUGGAUUUCUAUUUGACAACUAGUGCCAGUACUUUUCCGCGUAUCAAGAUCAUCUGGUUGGUAUC